rnacentral:rRNA from 1 species
CCUACGGGAGGCAGCAGUGGGGAAUAUUGGACAAUGGGCGCAAGCCUGAUCCAGCCAUGCCGCGUGUGUGAAGAAGGCUUUCGGGUUGUAAAGCACUUUCAGUGGGGAAGAAGGCUUACCGAUCAAUACCCGGUAAGAAGGACAUCACCCACAGAAGAAGCACCGGCUAACUCCGUGCCAGCAGCCGCGGUAAUACGGAGGGUGCGAGCGUUAAUCGGAAUUACUGGGCGUAAAGCGCGCGUAGGUGGCUUGAUAAGCCGGUUGUGAAAGCCCCGGGCUCAACCUGGGAACGGCAUCCGGAACUGUCAGGCUAGAGUGCAGGAGAGGAAGGUGGAAUUCCCGGUGUAGCGGUGAAAUGCGUAGAGAUCGGGAGGAAUACCAGUGGCGAAGGCGGCCUUCUGGACUGACACUGACACUGAGGUGCGAAAGCGUGGGUAGCAAACAGGAUUAGAUACCCUGGUAGUCCACGCCGUAAACGAUGUCGACCAGCCGUUGGGUUCCUCGAGGACUUAGUGGCGCAGUUAACGCGAUAAGUCGACCGCCUGGGGAGUACGGCCGCAAGGUUAAAACUCAAAUGAAUUGACGGGGGCCCGCACAAGCGGUGGAGCAUGUGGUUUAAUUCGAUGCAACGCGAAGAACCUUAC